GACUCUCGGUAAUGGAUAUCUUAUCAUUUGCAUCGAUGAAGAAUGUAGUGAAUGGUGAUGCUUGUUGUGAAUUGCAGUAUCAAGUGAACCAUUGAGUUUUUGAACGCAAGUUGCGUCGUAGCCAUUAGUCUGAGGACACAUCGGCAGGCCG
rnacentral:rRNA from 2 species